AGCUUUAAGUUUUAUUUAAAGUGAGACCUGCCCAGGGGUAAUUAGUAAACGGCCGCAGUACCGGGGCUGUGCUAAGGUAGCAUAAUCAGUUGGCUUUUAAAUGGAGUCGGGAAGGAAGGGAUUAAUAGGGUUAAGCUGUCUCUAGUAUAUUAAAUUGAAUUUGCUUAUUAGGUGAAAAUGCCUAAGUUGUAAAAGAAAAAAGACGAGAAGACCCUAGGAGUUUUAACUAGAUGCUAUUUAUUAUAGUUAAGGGUUUUGUUGGGGCGGCAUUGGAACAAUUUUAAACUUCCUUUAUGUUUAUAGGCCGACUGUGUAUGUAAAUCUAAACUACCCUAGGGAUAACAGCGUAAUUCUUUUUGAGCUUGCGACCUCGAUGUUGGACUAGGAAUUGGGUGGGCUAGCCGCCUA
rnacentral:rRNA from 1 species